rnacentral:lncRNA from 10 species
CCAGGGCUGACGCAGCAGGGUGGUGGCCAAGGAGACUGAAGCACCUAGCAAGUGGGGGUAGGGGUUUUACAUUCCAGGCAGAGGCAGAGUUUUGCCGCCGUCACUCCCCUGCCUGCUGGUACCAGUCCGGGCCCCACUCUGACUGGCCCGUCAGAGCGUGGAGGGGCUGAACUCACCACUCCCACAGAAGUAAAGGCCGCCACAGAGCUGAUGAUGGUGGGGAUGAUGUUGAACUUGCCAGCCUGUGUGCACAAAGACCAAGAAGCCAGUCUUGGAGAAAUACUGGUGACGUCUCAUGGAACAGAGGAGCACACUUUUGGAAAUGCUGGGUGAGGGCAUUUUCUGCUUCUAACCAGGGUGGCACGAGGUUGGAAAACCACACCAGAUGAAGGUGAGUGGAAGGAAUUUGAGACUGUGUAGCCCAGAGAAGACAAAGCCGUAGGAGUUAGAGGCUGGGAAGCUGCAGAGCCAGGAGCUGGGCUGACCUGAGGAUUCUAUAAGGAGGUGGGCGAGGACUUCAAUCCCAGAACCGCCUGCUGCGGAAAGUCACCACACGCGUGCCACACGUCUGGGAAGACUCCAGGACAGCAUGUUGCUCACCUGGCAGGUGUGCUGAGAGGAGGCCCCUUCCUCAGGUGGAGGCUGGACUGAAUGAUCUCUGGGGUCACCUACUGUUGGAACAUGCAAACAGCAGCAGCUCCCAGAACGUACCGGGGGUCCCAGCCACUUAUAGUUUGGACACCACAAUCCUAUUUACUGCAAACCCCAGCGGAUAUUUGCAAGUGGCUCUUCGUUCGGUUUUCAGUGAGAGGGUUUGGUGUUAUCCCCAUCAUGGGUCUUCCUUUGCUCACUGGAAUCUUUUUUUCUUUUUAUUCUAAUUUAAGUUUAAAUUUUUGAUAAAUAAAUACUAUUUAUUAUUAUUAUUUGAGACAGAGUGUCACUCUGUUACCCAGGCACUGGCGCCAUCUCGGCUCACUGCAAC